rnacentral:rRNA from 1 species
UACGUAGGGUGCAAGCGUUGUCCGGAAUUAUUGGGCGUAAAGAGCUCGUAGGCGGUUUGUCGCGUCGAAUGUGAAAACCCGGGGCUCAACCCCGGGCCUGCAUUCGAUACGGGCAGACUAGAGUUCGGUAGGGGAGAAUGGAAUUCCCGGUGUAGCGGUGAAAUGCGCAGAUAUCGGGAGGAACACCGGUGGCGAAGGCGGUUCUCUGGGCCUGACCUGACGCUGAGGAGCGAAAGCGUGGGGAGCGAACAGG